GAGCGAGAUUAUGCGGAGCACAAUAGCGGUUAGCGAUACGCACGCAGGCAGCGUGCUCUGUAUGAUUUCAGCGGCGGACGCGCUGUAGAAACACGUAGGAAUCUGCCCCUUUCUGGGGAAUAGCCUGCCGAAAGGCAGGAUAAUACCCCAUGGUUCCACCUUUUUGGUGGAUAAAGGCCUUUACCGGUCGGAAAGGGAUGAGCCUGCGUCCUAUCAGGUAGUUGGUGGGGUAAUAGCCUACCAAGCCAAUAACGGGUAGCUGGUCUGAGAGGAUGACCAGCCAGAGGGGGACUGAGACACGGCCCCCACUCCUACGGGAGGCAGCAAUCAGGAAUAGUCGGCAAUGGGCGAAAGCCUGACCGCGCGACGUCGUGUGAGGGAAUAAGCUCUAAUCGAGUGUAAACCUCUGUGGUAGGGGAAGAAGGCCCGCAAGGGCUUGACGGUACCCUACUAGAAAGGAGCCGCUAACUGCGUGCCAGAAGCGUCGGUAAUACGUGGGCUUCAAGCGUUAUCCGGUUUUACUGGGCGUAAAGGGUCGUGUAGGCGGUCGCGCAAGUUAUCUUUUAAAUUUCACCGCUCAACGGGGAAAAUGGAGGUAAUACUGCGUGACUAGAGUUAUCUUAAGGGUGAAUGGAACUGAGGGAGGAGUAGUGAAAUGCGUUGAUACCCUCGGGAACACCAGUGGCGAAGGCGAUUCACUGGAAGAUGACUGACGCUGAGACACGAAAGCUAGGGGAGCGAAGCAGAUUAGAGACCUGCGUAG
rnacentral:rRNA from 1 species